UACAGAGGGUGCAAGCGUUAAUCGGAAUUACUGGGCGUAAAGCGUGCGCAGGCGGUGAUGUAAGACAGUUGUGAAAUCCCCGGGCUCAACCUGGGAACUGCAUCUGUGACUGCAUUGCUGGAGUGCGGCAGAGGGGGAUGGAAUUCCGCGUGUAGCAGUGAAAUGCGUAGAUAUGCGGAGGAACACCGAUGGCGAAGGCAAUCCCCUGGACCUGUACUGACGCUCAUGCACGAAAGCGUGGGGAGCAAACAGG
rnacentral:rRNA from 1 species